AGCUUGCUCUUCUUGGAUGAGUUGCGAACGGGUGAGUAACGCGUAGGUAACCUGCCUUGUAGCGGGGGAUAACUAUUGGAAACGAUAGCUAAUACCGCAUAACAAUGAAUGACACAUGUCAUUUAUUUGAAAGGGGCAAUUGCUCCACUACAAGAUGGACCUGCGUUGUAUUAGCUAGUAGGUGAGGUAACGGCUCACCUAGGCGACGAUACAUAGCCGACCUGAGAGGGUGAUCGGCCACACUGGGACUGAGACACGGCCCAGACUCCUACGGGAGGCAGCAGUAGGGAAUCUUCGGCAAUGGGGGCAACCCUGACCGAGCAACGCCGCGUGAGUGAAGAAGGUUUUCGGAUCGUAAAGCUCUGUUGUAAGUCAAGAACGAGUGUGAGAGUGGAAAGUUCACACUGUGACGGUAGCUUACCAGAAAGGGACGGCUAACUACGUGCCAGCAGCCGCGGUAAUACGUAGGUCCCGAGCGUUGUCCGGAUUUAUUGGGCGUAAAGCGAGCGCAGGCGGUUUGAUAAGUCUGAAGUUAAAGGCUGUGGCUCAACCAUAGUUCGCUUUGGAAACUGUCAAACUUGAGUGCAGAAGGGGAGAGUGGAAUUCCAUGUGUAGCGGUGAAAUGCGUAGAUAUAUGGAGGAACACCGGUGGCGAAAGCGGCUCUCUGGUCUGUAACUGACGCUGAGGCUCGAAAGCGUGGGGAGCGAACAGGAUUAGAUACCCUGGUAGUCCACGCCGUAAACGAUGAGUGCUAGGUGUUGGAUCCUUUCCGGGAUUCAGUGCCGCAGCUAACGCAUUAAGCACUCCGCCUGGGGAGUACGACCGCAAGGUUGAAACUCAAAGGAAUUGACGGGGCCCGCACAAGCGGUGGAGCAUGUGGUUUAAUUCGAAGCAACGCG
rnacentral:rRNA from 1 species